GAUGAACGCUGGCGGCGUGCCUAAUACAUGCAAGUCGAGCGAACGGACGAGAAGCUUGCUUCUCUGAUGUUAGCGGCGGACGGGUGAGUAACACGUGGAUAACCUACCUAUAAGACUGGGAUAACUUCGGGAAACCGGAGCUAAUACCGGAUAAUAUUUUGAACCGCAUGGUUCAAAAGUAAAAGACGGUCUUGCUGUCACUUAUAGAUGGAUCCGCGCUGCAUUAGCUAGUUGGUAAGGUAACGGCUUACCAAGGCAACGAUGCAUAGCCGACCUGAGAGGGUGAUCGGCCACACUGGAACUGAGACACGGUCCAGACUCCUACGGGAGGCAGCAGUAGGGAAUCUUCCGCAGAGGGCGAAAGCCUGACGGAGCAACGCCGCGUGAGUGAUGAAGGUCUUCGGAUCGUAAAACUCUGUUAUUAGGGAAGAACAUAUGUGUAAGUAACUGUGCACAUCUUGACGGUACCUAAUCAGAAAGCCACGGCUAACUACGUG
rnacentral:rRNA from 1 species